ensembl:lncRNA
AACCUCCAUAUGACCCCUAAACCUCCAUAUGACCCCCAAACCUCCAUAUGACCCCUAACCUCCAUAUGACCCCUAACCCCCAUAUGACCGCUAACCUCCAUAUGACCCCUAACCUCCAUAUGACCCCUAACCUCCAUAUGACCCCUAACCUCCAUAUGACCCCUAACCUCCAUAUGACCCUGUUAUCAAUGUUAGUAGUGAUGAUUAAUCUAAAGCUGACCAGGUUUCAAGAGAAAAACUUCUGCCAACAAACUCUGGGCUUUGGCUGAGUUCAGUUCUGUUCAGUCCAGUGUGGCUUCAGUACAGCUGCCCUGUGUAGGGGGGAGGGGGACAGAGGUGUCUAGUCCCUAUGGUGGAGGGAGGAUGGAGGGCAGAGGGGACAGAGGUGUGUCUAGUCCCUACGGUGGAGGGAGGAUGGAGGGCAGAGGGGACAGAGGUGUGUCUAGUCCCUACGGUGGAGGGAGGAUGGAGGGCAGAGGGGACAGAGGUGUGUCUAGUCCCUGGAGGGGAGGAUGGAGGGCAGAGGGGACAGAGGUGUGUCUAGUCCCUACAGUGGAGGGAGGGGGAUGGAGGGCAGAGGGAACAGAGGUGUGUCUAGUCCCUACGGUGGAGGGAGGAUGGAGGGCAGAGGGGACAGAGGUGUGUCUAGUCCCUACAGUGGAGGGAGGAUGGAGGGCAGAGGGGACAGAGGUGUGUCUAGUCCCUACGGUGGAGGGAGGAUGGAGGGCAGAGGGGACAGAGGUGUGUCUAGUCCCUACAGUGGAGGGAGGAUGGAGGGCAGAGGGGACAGAGGUGUGUCUAGUCCCUACGGUGGAGGGAGGAUGGAGGGCAGAGGGGACAGAGGUGUGUCUAGUCCCUACAGUGGAGGGAGGAUGGAGGGCAGAGGGGACAGAGGUGUGUCUAGUCCCUACGGUGGAGGGAGGAUGGAGGGCAGAGGGGACAGAGGUGUGUCUAGUCCCUACGGUGGAGGGAGGAUGGAGGGCAGAGGGAACAGAGGAGUGUCUAGUCCCUACAGUGGAAGGAGGAUGGGAUGGAGGGCAGAAGCCGGGAAGUGGUUCCUCCCCGUCAGGCUUUCCCUUCCCAGGCGUCGUCUCUCUGUUUAGCUGCCAGACGCUUCUGCUCU